rnacentral:rRNA from 1 species
CCUACGGGUGGCUGCAGUGAGGAAUAUUGGUCAAUGGACGCGAGUCUGAACCAGCCAAGUAGCGUGAAGGAUGACUGCCCUACGGGUUGUAAACUUCUUUUAUAAAGGAAUAAAACGAGGCACGUGUGCCUUUUUGUGUGUCCUUUAUGAGUAAGGAUCGGCUAACUCCGUGCCAGCAGCCGCGGUAAUACGGAGGAUCCGAGCGUUAUCCGUAUUUAUUUGGUUUAAAGGGAGCGUAGAUGGGUUGUUAAGUCAGUUGUGAAAGUUUGCGGCUCAACCGUAAAAGUGCAAUUGAUACUGGCAGUCGUGAGUACAGGUGAGGUAGGCGGAAUUCGUGGUGUAGCGGUGAAAUGCUUAGAUAUCACGAAGAACUCCGAUUGCGAAGGCAGCUUACUAAACUGCCACUGACAUUGAUGCUCGAAAGUGUGGGUAUCAAACAGGAUUAGAUACCCCUGUAGUC